CGAACGCUGGCGGCAUGCCUAACACAUGCAAGUCGAACGAACCCUUCGGGGUUAGUGGCGCACGGGUGCGUAACACGUGGGAAUCUGCCCUUUGCUUCGGAAUAACAGUUAGAAACGACUGCUAAUACCGGAUGAUGUCGAAAGACCAAAGAUUUAUCGGCAAAGGAUGAGCCCGCGUAGGAUUAGGUAGUUGGUGGGGUAAAGGCCUACCAAGCCGACGAUCCUUAGCUGGUCUGAGAGGAUGAUCAGCCACACUGGGACUGAGACACGGCCCAGACUCCUACGGGAGGUAGCAGUGGGGAAUAUUGGACAAUGGGCGAAAGCCUGAUCCAGCAAUGCCGCGUGAGUGAUGAAGGCCUUAGGGUUGUAAAGCUCUUUUACCAGGGAUGAUAAUGACAGUACCUGGAGAAUAAGCUCCGGCUAACUCCGUGCCAGAAG
rnacentral:rRNA from 1 species